AGGCCAUGAUAUGUGCAAAGUCUCAUAAUAUUUUUGUACCUUUUCCAAGCUUCAAAGAGGGAUUCUCCAUCAGUUUGUCUAAAACAAGUGAUUUGAUUUCUUAAAACU